CGGAUUUACUGGGCGUAAAGCGUACGUAGGCGGCUUUGUAAGUUAGAGGUGAAAGCCCAGGGCUCAACCCUGGAAUAGCCUUUAAGACUGCAUCGCUUGAACGUCGGAGAGGUGAGUGGAAUUCCGAGUGUAGAGGUGAAAUUCGUAGAUAUUCGGAAGAACACCAGUGGCGAAGGCGACUCACUGGACGACUGUUGACGCUGAGGUACGAAAGCGUGGGGAGCAAACAG
rnacentral:rRNA from 1 species